rnacentral:rRNA from 1 species
CCUACGGGAGGCAGCAGUGGGGAAUAUUGCACAAUGGGGGAAACCCUGAUGCAGCGACGCCGCGUGAGUGAAGAAGUAUUUCGGUAUGUAAAGCUCUAUCAGCAGGGAAGAAAAUGACGGUACCUGAGUAAGAAGCUCCGGCUAACUACGUGCCAGCAGCCGCGGUAAUACGUAGGGGGCAAGCGUUAUCCGGAUUUACUGGGUGUAAAGGGAGCGUAGACGGCAGCACAAGUCUGGAGGGAAAUGCCGGGGCUUAACCCCGGAACUGCUUUGGAAACUGGGCAGCUGGAGUGGAGGAGAGGGAAGUGGAAUUCGUGGUGUAGCGGUGAAAUGCGUAGAGAUUGGGAGGAACACCAGUGGCGAAGGCGGCUGACGGGGCUAUAACUGACGUUGAGGCACGAAAGCGUGGGGAGCAAACAGGAGUAGAUACCCCGGUAGUC